CAAUUGCCAGGAGUCAAUCCCUGUCUUUGCUAUGGAUCUUACUAGAGGGGUACAAUGGACAGGCUGUCAGCCACUCACCUAUUUAUUCAUCCUUGCAGGAGAGCUAAAGCCCUCCCAUUUCAGCCUGGAAAUCUUUGUGAGAUGGAUGAAUGCCACCCACAGCAUCUUACCUGUGCCAUCUGACACCCUGGGGGCACACUCAUAGUGACACUCCAGUGAUGAGUCAGCUGACCUCAUUUGUUGCUCUAUAGGUCUUACCCAGUGACUUUGUCAUUCUGUUUGGAAUUAGCUGGUAUGCCACCAGCUAUGUAGGAGGAGAGGAAGCCUUUAGGAAGUUUUGAAUAGAGAGGGCAUUUCCCAAAGAAAAAUUCUAGGUUCUGGCUAACUCAGAAAUGGGACUCAGUCAGUCGACUAGCACUUAUUAGGUUCCUACUAUGCGCAAAUAGCACAUUUGCAAUAGCAAAUCUUGGUCUGCUGUUAUUAAUAUUGACACCUACCAGCAGGGUGACCUUGGGCAAAUUACUUAUCUCUGAGAAUCAGUUUCUUCAUCUGUAAAAUGGGGAUAAUAAUAUUUCUAGUACUAACCUCACAAAAGUGGGGUGACAUGAUGUACAUAUAAGAUAAAGUACCUAACGUGCUUCGCAGACUUUACAGAGCUCUGUAUAAAUGGCAUUAUUGUUAUAGUGUUGGUGGUUUCUGACACUGCAUUUGAAAAUCUUGAUUUGCUAAUGCCCGAGGUACUACACCUCCCUGGCCCAAUGCUGUAUCCUUGUUGGGCAGCCCUUCCAUGACAUGGUUAAGUAAAUCACUUUUUGUUAAAUAUUAGAUGUUCUAUGAAGGUCUCAUUCACCUAGGUGGCUGAUGUGGAGAGAGGGGGAGAAAAGGAAGAGGGAAAGGGAGAGGGAGAGGAGAGAGAGAGAAUGAGUAGAGUGUAGACAGUAGGGAAUGGAGAGAAAGUAGAAGAGCCUUGGAGAACAUCCACAGUGAGGUGUGAUAUGGAUGAGGAAUCAGCAAAGGAAGCCAGAGUGGUCUGAUAGGUAGGAGGAGAAUCAGGAGAGAGCAUAGAGAAAAGUAUAACUAGGAGGAGAGAGUGGUCCACGGGGUCAGAUGCAGCAGCAGAGAAGUCAGCCGGAUGAAGACUGAGAAAAGAGCAUCGGAUCAGGUAAUUCAGAGACACCCAGUGACUCUGGACAGACAUGGUUUGG
rnacentral:lncRNA from 1 species